GACGAACGCUGGCGGCGUGCUUAACACAUGCAAGUCGAACGCUGAAGCUCAGCUUGCUGGGUGGAUGAGUGGCGAACGGGUGAGUAACACGUGAGUAACCUGCCCUCUUCUUUGGGAUAACGCCCGGAAACGGGUGCUAAUACUGGAUAUUCACUGAUUCUCGCAUGGGGGUUGGUGGAAAGGUUUUUUCUGGUGGGGGAUGGGCUCGCGGCCUAUCAGCUUGUUGGUGGGGUGAUGGCCUACCAAGGCUUUGACGGGUAGCCGGCCUGAGAGGGUGACCGGUCACAUUGGGACUGAGAUACGGCCCAGACUCCUACGGGAGGCAGCAGUGGGGAAUAUUGCACAAUGGGCGAAAGCCUGAUGCAGCGACGCCGCGUGAGGGAUGGAGGCCUUCGGGUUGUAAACCUCUUUCGCUCAUGGUCAAGCCGCAGCUUCGGGUUGUGGUGAGGGUAGUGGGUAAAGAAGCGCCGGCUAACUACGUG
rnacentral:rRNA from 1 species